CCCACCUGACCCCAUGCCGAACUCAGCAGUGAAACGCCGUAGCGCCGAUGGUAGUGUGGGGUCUCCCCAUGUGAGAGUAGGGAACUGCCAGAC
rnacentral:rRNA from 1 species